rnacentral:rRNA from 1 species
UGGGGAAUAUUGGACAAUGGGGGCAACCCUGAUCCAGCAAUGCCGCGUGUGUGAAGAAGGUCUUCGGAUUGUAAAGCACUUUCGACGGGGACGAUGAUGACGGUACCCGUAGAAGAAGCCCCGGCUAACUUCGUGCCAGCAGCCGCGGUAAUACGAAGGGGGCUAGCGUUGCUCGGAAUGACUGGGCGUAAAGGGCGUGUAGGCGGUUUACACAGUCAGAUGUGAAAUCCCGGGGCUUAACCUGGGAGCUGCAUUUGAUACGUGUAGACUAGAGUGUGAGAGAGGGUUGUGGAAUUCCCAGUGUAGAGGUGAAAUUCGUAGAUAUUGGGAAGAACACCGGUGGCGAAGGCGGCAACCUGGCUCAUGACUGACGCUGAGGCGCGAAAGCGUGGGGAGCAAACAGGAUUAGAUACCCUGGUAGUCCACGCUGUAAACGAUGUGUGCUAGAUGUUGGGUAACUUUGUUAUUCAGUGUCGCAGUUAACGCGUUAAGCACACCGCCUGGGGAGUACGGGCCGCAAG